rnacentral:sRNA from 1 species
UCUGAUAAUAGAUGUGUUAGAAAAUUUCUGCAUGGUGAAUCCCCCUGUGCGGAGGGGCAAUCAGCGAGUAGGUAUAUGGGAUAAUCGCGGAUUCAGGUGCUGGUACUGAAUUCACCGGGAGGCACCCGGCACCAUGCAGUUAUGCAAUGUAAAUGUUCACACAAGCAAAUCCCCUCUUCGGAGGGGAUUUUUUAAAAAA